UAAUACGUAGGGGGCUAGCGUUGUCCGGAAUCAUUGGGCGUAAAGAGCGCGUAGGCGGCCCGGUAAGUCCGCUGUGAAAGUCAAAGGCUCAACCUUUGAAUGUCAGCGGAUACUGCCGGGCUAGAGUCCGGAAGAGGCGAGUGGAACUCCUGGUGUAGCGGUGGAAUGCGCAGAUAUCAGGAAGAACACCAACGGCGAAGGCAGCUCGCUAGGACGGUACUGACGCUGAG
rnacentral:rRNA from 1 species